rnacentral:lncRNA from 1 species
UAAGGGCUCUCCAGGUGCCAGUGAAGAUGCCUGGCUCAGGCCAUCAGGAGCUGGUUAGCCCCAUUCCACCCCCAGCCCUGCAUGCAGGGUCCAGCCAUUGUCUUUGGGGGAAACAGGCAGAAUAAGUGGAGGAUGGAGCUGGGGCUUGGGCUCCUCUAGGUACCUUCUGAGAGCUUUGACAAGCCAGAAAGACACACCCAUUCCUUGGGGGCUUGUAACACAGUGCGAGGUGGGUCACCAACAGGCAUCAGACUGGUGUAGUCAUCAGCGGGUAGCUACAGAAGGGACACAGAUUUAGGGCAGAGAGCUCAGCCAGACCCGCCAGGCCCUCCGGCCACACAAUCUCACCUGGUAGGCCUGGAAGACGCUGAGCAGAUCCUUCAUACCAGCCGUGUAUGGGACACCCUGCAUGCGGACCAAGGCUCCUGACUGGGACAACACUGAGGUGGGAGCAGAGGCCAGGGCAGCAGUGGGUGUAGUGAGGUAGCCCACAGUGGUGGGGGAGACUGGGGGGCUAGGGUGGGAGAGACAAGGUUUAGUCAUGCAUGCCACCUGUGGCCUAGACCGAGACCUGUUUCCCUCCUCCCUUGUUUCUGCCUUGUGCUUAAUUCAGUUCCUCCCUGAAAGCCCCAGCCUCUACAGAGUCAUUUUCGAUCUGUUUUGUAGAUGGCAUUAGCCAGCUGCCACCUUACUCCCUUGUCAUCUCAAGGGAGGAGUUAUCUGGUCCAGAAAGGGGAUCAUGACCUUUCCCCAGAUUGGGACAGGGAGUGGGACUGUGAUAUUCUCUUAGCUGCAGGGUACCUUGGGUAGUAGGCUGUGUAGUU